rnacentral:rRNA from 1 species
GACGAACGCUGGCGGCGUGCCUAAUACAUGCAAGUAGAACGCACAGUUUAUACCGUAGCUUGCUACACCAUAGACUGUGAGUUGCGAACGGGUGAGUAACGCGUAGGUAACCUGCCUGGUAGCGGGGGAUAACUAUUGGAAACGAUAGCUAAUACCGCAUAAUAUUGAUUAUUGCAUGAUAAUUGAUUGAAAGAUGCUAUUGCAUCACUACCAGAUGGACCUGCGUUGUAUUAGCUAGUAGGUGAGGUAACGGCUCACCUAGGCGACGAUACAUAGCCGACCUGAGAGGGUGAUCAGCCACACUGAGACUGAGACACGGCCCAGAGUCCUAGGGAAAGCAGCAGUAGGGAAUCUUCGGCAAUGGACGAAAGACUGACCGAGCAACGCCGCGGGAGUGAAGAAGGUCGUCGGAUCGUAAAGCUCUGUUGUAAGAGAAGAACGGGCGUGAGGGUGGAAAGUUCACACUGUGACGGUAUCUUACCAGAAAGGGACGGCUAACUACGUG